AUGUCCCCAAAAUGUCCCCAAAAUCCCCCCAAAAUCCCAAAAUGUCCCAAAAUGUCCCAAAAUGUCCCCAAAAUGUCCGUCCCCAAGUCCCCCCAAAUUCCCCCCAAAUCCCAAAAUGUCCCAAAAUCCCCAAAAUCCCAAAAUGUCCCCAAAAUCCCAAAAUGUCCCCAAAAUCCCCCCAAAAUCCCCAAAUCCCCCCAAACUUCCCCAAAAUGUCCCCAAAUCCCCCUAAAUGUCCCAAAAUGUCCCCAAAUCCCCCCCGAAUCUCCCCCAAAUUUCCCCAAAUAUCCCCAAAAUCCCCAAAUCCCCCCAAAAUCCACAAAUCCCCCCAAAAUGUCCUCAAAUGUCCCCAAAUCCUCCAAGAAUCCCCUCAAAUUUUCCCAAAUGUCCCAAAAAUGUCCCAAAAUGUCCCCAAAUGACCCCAAAUUCCCCAAAUUUCCCCAAAACGUCCCCAAAACGUCCCCAAAAUCCCCAAACCCCCCCAAAAUCCCCAAAUCCCCCCGAAUCCCCCCAAAUGUCUCCAAAAUCCCAAAAUCCCCCCAAUUCUCCCCAAAAUGUCCCCAAAUGUCCCCAAAAUGUCCCAAAAUGUCCCCAAAUCCCCCCAAAUCCCCCCAAAUCCCCCAACCCCCCCAAAAUCCCCUUAAAUUUCGCCAAAAUGUCCCCAAAUUCCCACGAAAUCCCCCACAAAAUCCCCAAAUCCCCCCAAAAUUUCCCCAAAUCCCCCCAAACGACCCCAAAUUUCCCAAAAUGUCCCAAAAUCCCCCCAAAAUCCCCAAACUCCCCCAAAAAUCCCCCCCAAAAUCCCAAAAUUUCCCUAAAAUCCCCAAAUUCCCCCAAAAUCCACAAAUCCCCCCAAAUUUCCCCAAAAUGUCCCAAAAUCCCCCAAAUUCCCCGUCCCCGACUCACCCGGGUGGGGGAGGGGCCGGCGGGGGGGUGAGACCCCCGGGGGGGGGAGGGGCAGUGGGGGGAGGGGCUGUGGGGGGAGGGGGAGGGGCGUUCGCUGCCCCUCCCCCCCCCGGGCCGGGCGGGGGUCCCGGGCUGGAACCUGCGGGGGGGGAGGGGCGGAAAUUGGGGGGGGGGGAGGGGCUGAAUCCCCUCCCCCACCCCCCCAAAAAUGGGGAGGGGUCACGGGAAUUUGGGGAGGGUCUUUGGGUGGGGGAGGGGUCACGGGAAUUUGGGGAGGGGUCAUAG
rnacentral:lncRNA from 1 species